rnacentral:rRNA from 1 species
AUUGAACGCUAGCGGCAUGCUUUACACAUGCAAGUCGAACGAGUAGCGGACGGGUGAGUAAUAUAUCGGAACGUACCCAGUAGCGGGGGAUAACUACUCGAAAGAGUGGCUAAUACCGCAUACUAUUGGAUCAGCCGAUAUGGGAUUCUCUAGUUGGUGGGGUAAAGGCUAACCAAGGCAACGAGCCGUAGCUGGUAUGAGAGGACGACCAGCCACACGUGGACUGAGACACGGCCCAGACUCCUACGGGAGGCAGCAGUGGGGAAUUUUGGACAAUGGGGGAAACCCUGAUCCAGCCAUCCCGCGUGUAUGAGAAGGCCUUCGGGUUGUAAAGUACUUUUGGCAGAGAAGCGGUAUCUGCAGAAUAAGCACCGGCUAACUACGUGCCAGCAGCCGCGGUAAUUC